UACGAGGGGAGCAAGCGUUGUUCGGAUUUACUGGGCGUAAAGGGCGCGUAGGCGGCGUGACUAGUCACUUGUGAAAUCUCCGGGCUUAACUCGGAACGGUCAAGUGAUACUGUCGUGCUAGAGUACAGAAGGGGCAACUGGAAUUCUCGGUGUAGCGGUGAAAUGCGUAGAUAUCGAGAGGAACACCUGCGGCGAAGGCGGGUUGCUGGCUGAUACUGACGCUGAUGCGCGAAAGCCAGGGGAGCGAAGCGGG
rnacentral:rRNA from 1 species